rnacentral:rRNA from 1 species
GAUGAACGCUGGCGGCGUGCCUAAUACAUGCAAGUCGAGCGAACAGACGAGGAGCUUGCUCCUCUGACGUUAGCGGCGGACGGGUGAGUAACACGUGGAUAACCUACCUAUAAGACUGGGAUAACUUCGGGAAACCGGAGCUAAUACCGGAUAUUAUAUUGAACCGCAUGGUUCAAUAGUGAAAGACGGUUUUGCUGUCACUUAUAGAUGGAUCCGCGCCGCAUUAGCUAGUUGGUAAGGUAACGGCCUACCAAGGCAACGAUGCGUAGCCGACCUGAGAGGGUGAUCGGCCACACUGGAACUGAGACACGGUCCAGACUCCUACGGGAGGCAGCAGUAGGGAAUCUUCCGCAAUGGGCGAAAGCCUGACGGAGCAACGCCGCGUGAGUGAUGAGGGUCUUCGGAUCGUAAAACUCUGUUAUUAGGGAAGAACAAAUGUGUAAGUAACUAUGCACGUCUUGACGGUACCUAAUCAGAAAGCCACGGCUAACUACGUG